UUUUCAUUUUAUCAAAUGCAGCAUUUUCCACAACAGUGUUCAGCUCUUUUUCAUUUAGCUGCUUUCCUAAGAAUUUGCAGAUUUUCAGCACAGCCCCUCUGA